rnacentral:rRNA from 1 species
UGGGGAAUUUUGGACAAUGGGCGAAAGCCUGAUCCAGCCAUGCCGCGUGAGUGAAGAAGGCCUUCGGGUUGUAAAGCUCUUUCAGACGGAAAGAAAUCUCCCGGGUGAAUAUCCUGGGAGGAUGACGGUACCGUAAGAAGAAGCACCGGCUAACUACGUGCCAGCAGCCGCGGUAAUACGUAGGGUGCGAGCGUUAAUCGGAAUUACUGGGCGUAAAGCGUGCGCAGGCGGUUAUAUAAGACAGAUGUGAAAUCCCCGGGCUUAACCUGGGAACUGCGUUUGUGACUGUAUGACUAGAGUACGGUAGAGGGGGGUGGAAUUCCUGGUGUAGCAGUGAAAUGCGUAGAUAUCAGGAGGAACAUCGAUGGCGAAGGCAGCCCCCUGGACCUGUACUGACGCUCAUGCACGAAAGCGUGGGGAGCAAACAGG